AAUGAACGUUGGCGGCGUGGAUUAGGCAUGCAAGUCGUACGGGUCGGUGUAGCAAUACAACGGCAAGUGGCGAAAGGGAGAGUAACACGUAGAUACCUACCCUCUGGUCGGGGAUACCGCGGCAUAACCGCAAGUAAUACCCGAUAAAAUCUCCGGAUCAAAGGUGUGAUUCCGCCGGAGGAGGGGUCUGCGUUCUAUCAGCUUGUUGGUGAGGUAAUGGCUCACCAAGGCUAAGACGGAUACGGGGUGUGAGAGCAUGCCCCCGCUCACUGGGACUGAGCCACUGCCCAGACACCUACGGGUGGCUGCAGUCGAGAAUCUUCGGCAAUGGGCGCAAGCCUGACCGAGCGACGCCGCGUGCGGGAUGAAGGCCUUCGGGUUGUAAACCGCUGUCGAGGGGAAUGAAGUGUAGGUGGGUACUCCCAUCUAUUUGACAGAUCCCUGGAGGAAGCAUGGGCUAAGUUCGUGCCAGCCGCCGCUGUAAUAC
rnacentral:rRNA from 1 species